AGGAUAAUAGUUAAUUUUAACAUUUAAUUUGCAUUUAAAAAAUAUUGAAUUUAAUUCAAUUUAUCUUA
rnacentral:tRNA from 1 species